rnacentral:rRNA from 1 species
GGUUAAGCGACUAAGCGUACACGGUGGAUGCCCUGGCAGUCAGAGGCGAUGAAGGACGUGCUAAUCUGCGAAAAGCGCCGGCGAGGUGAUAUGAACCUUUGACCCGGCGAUGUCCGAAUGGGGAAACCCAGUGCAAUCCGUUGCACUAUCGUUAACUGAAUACAUAGGUUAACGAGGCGAACCGGGGGAACUGAAACAUCUAAGUACCCCGAGGAAAAGAAAUCAACCGAGAUUCCCCCAGUAGCGGCGAGCGAACGGGGAGCAGCCCGGAGUCUGAAUCAGCUUGUGUGUUAGUGGAACGGUCUGGAAAGUCCGACGGUACAGGGUGAUAGUCCCGUACACGAAAGCACACAUGCUGUGAACUCGAAGAGUAGGGCGGGACACGUGGUAUCCUGUCUGAAUAUGGGGGGACCAUCCUCCAAGGCUAAAUACUCCUGACUGACCGAUAGUGAACCAGUACCGUGAGGGAAAGGCGAAAAGAACCCCGGCGAGGGGAGUGAAAAAGAACCUGAAACCGUGUACGUACAAGCAGUGGGAGCCUCUUUAUGGGGUGACUGCGUACCUUUUGUAUAAUGGGUCAGCGACUUAUAUUCUGUAGCAAGGUUAACCGUAUAGGGGAGCCGAAGGGAAACCGAGUCUUAACUGGGCGUUAAGUUGCAGGGUAUAGACCCGAAACCCGGUGAUCUAGCCAUGGGCAGGUUGAAGGUUGGGUAACACUAACUGGAGGACCGAACCGACUAAUGUUGAAAAAUUAGCGGAUGACCUGUGGCUGGGGGUGAAAGGCCAAUCAAACCGGGAGAUAGCUGGUUCUCCCCGAAAGCUAUUUAGGUAGCGCCUCGUGAACUCAUCUUCGGGGGUAGAGCACUGUUUCGGCUAGGGGGCCAUCCCGGCUUACCAACCCGAUGCAAACUACGAAUACCGAAGAAUGUUAUCACGGGAGACACACGGCGGGUGCUAACGUCCGUCGUGAAGAGGGAAACAACCCAGACCGCCAGCUAAGGUCCCAAAGUCAUGGUUAAGUGGGAAACGAUGUGGGAAGGCACAGACAGCCAGGAUGUUGGCUUAGAAGCAGCCAUCAUUUAAAGAAAGCGUAAUAGCUCACUGGUCGAGUCGGCCUGCGCGGAAGAUGUAACGGGGCUAAACCAUGCACCGAAGCUGCGGCAGCGACACUAUGUGUUGUUGGGUAGGGGAGCGUUCUGUAAGCCGUUGAAGGUGUGCUGUGAGGCAUGCUGGAGGUAUCAGAAGUGCGAAUGCUGACAUAAGUAACGAUAAAGCGGGUGAAAAGCCCGCUCGCCGGAAGACCAAGGGUUCCUGUCCAACGUUAAUCGGGGCAGGGUGAGUCGACCCCUAAGGCGAGGCCGAAAGGCGUAGUCGAUGGGAAACAGGUUAAUAUUCCUGUACUUGGUGUUACUGCGAAGGGGGACGGAGAAGGCUAUGUCAGCCGGGCGACGGUUGUCCCGGUUUAAGCAUGUAGGCGGAGGUUCCAGGUAAAUCCGGUACCUUGUUAACGCUGAGGUGUGAUGACGAGGCACUACGGUGCUGAAGUGAUAAAUGCCCUGCUUCCAGGAAAAGCCUCUAAGCAUCAGGUAACACGAAAUCGUACCCCAAACCGACACAGGUGGUCAGGUAGAGAAUACCAAGGCGCUUGAGAGAACUCGGGUGAAGGAACUAGGCAAAAUGGUGCCGUAACUUCGGGAGAAGGCACGCUGAUAGGUAGGUGAAGCCCCUGCGGGCGGAGCUGAAAUCAGUCGAAGAUACCAGCUGGCUGCAACUGUUUAUUAAAAACACAGCACUGUGCAAACACGAAAGUGGACGUAUACGGUGUGACGCCUGCCCGGUGCCGGAAGGUUAAUUGAUGGGGUUAGCGGCAACGCGAAGCUCUUGAUCGAAGCCCCGGUAAACGGCGGCCGUAACUAUAACGGUCCUAAGGUAGCGAAAUUCCUUGUCGGGUAAGUUCCGACCUGCACGAAUGGCGUAAUGAUGGCCAGGCUGUCUCCACCCGAGACUCAGUGAAAUUGAACUCGCUGUGAAGAUGCAGUGUACCCGCGGCAAGACGGAAAGACCCCGUGAACCUUUACUAUAGCUUGACACUGAACACUGGUCCUUGAUGUGUAGGAUAGGUGGGAGGCUUUGAAGCGUGGACGCCAGUCUGCGUGGAGCCAACCUUGAAAUACCACCCUUUAAUGGCUGGUGUUCUAACGUAGACCCGUAAUCCGGGUUGCGGACAGUGUCUGGUGGGUAGUUUGACUGGGGCGGUCUCCUCCCAAAGAGUAACGGAGGAGCACGAAGGUUGGCUAAUCCUGGUCGGACAUCAGGAGGUUAGUGCAAUGGCAUAAGCCAGCUUGACUGCGAGCGUGACGGCGCGAGCAGGUGCGAAAGCAGGUCAUAGUGAUCCGGUGGUUCUGAAUGGAAGGGCCAUCGCUCAACGGAUAAAAGGUACUCCGGGGAUAACAGGCUGAUACCGCCCAAGAGUUCAUAUCGACGGCGGUGUUUGGCACCUCGAUGUCGGCUCAUCACAUCCUGGGGCUGAAGUAGGUCCCAAGGGUAUGGCUGUUCGCCAUUUAAAGUGGUACGCGAGCUGGGUUUAGAACGUCGUGAGACAGUUCGGUCCCUAUCUGCCGUGGGCGCUGGAGAAUUGAGGGGGCUGCUCCUAGUACGAGAGGACCGGAGUGGACGCAUCACUGGUGUUCGGGUUGUCAUGCCAAUGGCACUGCCCGGUAGCUAAAUGCGGAAGAGAUAAGUGCUGAAAGCAUCUAAGCACGAAACUUGCCCCGAGAUGAGUUCUCCCUGAGACUUUAAGUCUCCUGAAGGAACGUUGAAGACGACGACGUUGAUAGGUCGGGUGUGUAAGCGCAGCGAUGCGUUGAGCUAACCGAUACUAAUGAACCGUGAGGCUUAACCUU